CCUUCCGCGGUGUAUAGAAUGGAAUGG
rnacentral:sRNA from 1 species